UUAGUGGCGGACGGGUGAGUAACGCGUGGAAAACCUGCCGUAUACUGGGGGAUAACACUUAGAAAUAGGUGCUAAUACCGCAUAAGCGCACAGCUUCGCAUGAAGCGGUGUGAAAAACUCUGGUGGUAUACGAUGGUUCCGCGUCUGAUUAGCUAGUUGGUGGGGUAACGGCUUACCAAGGCGACGAUCAGUAGUCGGCCUGAGAGGGUGACCGGCCACAUUGGGACUGAGACACGGCCCAAACUCCUACGGGAGGCAGCAG
rnacentral:rRNA from 1 species